rnacentral:lncRNA from 1 species
AAAUGAAAAAAGAGAAUGAAGCCAUAACUUGGGAACUCCAUUCGUGAAUCCGAACGGUAAGGGGGGAGGCGUCGUUGAGAACAUACCAAAAAUUGUGGCUCGUUGGAUGAUGGAGCUCGGAAAGCGCGAAGAUUCAAAAGCUUUUAGGUUGAUUUUGAGAUUUUUUAGAAGUUUUUUUAGAAAAUUAGAGGGAACUUGAGGAGAGGAGAUAGAGAGGAGCAUUUUGGUGUGGUGGUGGGCUGGUGACAGAACCGUAGUGAGGCGGUGUGAAGGCGGCGACUAGGGCUACUAGGAGAAGAAAAAGGAGAAAAAAGAAGGAAAAAUAUUAAAAUAUAUAAAGUGGCGGGGCCC